UACGGGGGGUGCAAGCGUUGUUCGGAAUUACUGGGCGUAAAGGGCUCGUAGGCGGCCAACUAAGUCGGAUGUGAAAUCCCCAGGCUCAACCUGGGAACUGCAUCCGAUACUGGAUGGCUUGAAUCCGGGAGAGGGAUGCAGAAUUCCAGGUGUAGCGGUGAAAUGCGUAGAUAUCUGGAGGAACACCGGUGGCGAAGGCGGCAUCCUGGACCGGUAUUGACACUGAGGCGCGAAAGCCAGGGGAGCAAACGGG
rnacentral:rRNA from 1 species